GUGAUUAUAUCAGCACUAAUGGACCAGAUUCAAUCAGAACUCCGAAGUUAAACUUGCUUGGGAGAGAACAGUACUAGGAUGGGUGACCCCUAGGAAGUCCUCGUGUUGCUCCU
rnacentral:rRNA from 1 species